GGUUGUCGUCAGCUCGUGUCGUGAGAUGUUGGGUUAAGUCCCGCAACGAGCGCAACCCUUGUCAUUAGUUGCUACAUUCAGUUGGGCACUCUAAAUGAGACUGCCGGUGACAAGCCGGAGGAAGGUGGGGAUGACGUCAAGUCCUCAUGGCCCUUAUAGGUGGGGCUACACACGUCAUACAAUGGCUGGUACAAAGGGUUGCCAACCCGCGAGGGGGAGCCAAUCCCAUAAAGCCAGUCGUAGUCCGGAUCGUAGUCUGCAACUCGACUACGUGAAGUCGGAAUCGCUAGUAAUCGUGGAUCAGAAUGUCACGGUGAAUACGUUCCCGGGUCUU
rnacentral:rRNA from 1 species